CACGCUACACGUUGGUCACUGCACUACCAGCAUCGUGUGUUGAAAGGAAAAUAAAAAAAAAAAAAUGGGAAUGAUUAGAUGUGAAUCCCCGCGAACGCAUAAAUAUCUUUGGAAAAGUGAAUAAAACGAUUUGAAUAUUCUUACGAAAUUUGUUUGGGAUGGUUUACCAGAAAUAAAGUUAAUAAAAUAGCCGUUUUCAUCGGACGAGGUGGCCGAGUGGUUAAGGCGUUGGACUGCUAAUCCAAUGUGCUCUGCACGCGUGGGUUCGAAUCCCAUCCUCGUCGAUUUCGCUUUUUGUUACUUUGCAAAAAUUUCUAAUUUAUAAACUAUGUGUUGGUAGAGAAAGUUGAUAAAAAAAUUGAUGGCUCUUUAAUAUUGAAGACACCAAGAGUCAUUGAACUUAAAAACAAAUAUCCUGAAGAAAAACAAACAGGCAAUGGUUUUGGUACAUACAAAUUGAAACCAUGGUAUUUCAAAAUUAUUAUUAUUUGAAUUAUUUAUUGUUAUUAAGAAAUACAUACAACGUAUAAAAAAAUUUUUCAUUAUUUAUGUGUUAAUUUUUAAUUAUUUAUGUGUUAACAAAAUGAAUGUUGAAUUUGUUAUUAUUAUAUAUUAGAUUUAAUAAUAUAAUGUACUGUAUUCAUUAACUAAAUAACUAAAUUAAAAUGAAUUUGUGAAAUAAUUAUUCGUAUAAA